rnacentral:lncRNA from 1 species
UAUAACAUCGAUCCACUACAUGGCCUAGAAGCCCACAAUGGGUACACGUAGGCCUUCUUUUUCCUCCCUGUGCUAGGGCAAUAUUGGCAGAUUCCAUCGUGCCGUUGAAUGCCUCAAUUCUAACGGUGUUUCCAACAACCCCAUGUCUCUCCUCCUGAAUCACGAGACUGAAGACUUUCGAGAUGGAAUGAGGUGUUUCCAUCAUGAGGAUUUGGCUCUGUAUUGAUGUGUAAGAAUCAUUGAGUCCCUUAAGAAGAGCAUGACGAAUUCCUACUCCAUAUAAUCAUUCCAAGCUUUCAUUCCUCCACAAUAGCAUACCGGAGCGGGCUGGUAGGUUUAAAGUUCGUCCCACAACGUCUUCAUUUUCGUAUAGUAGCUAUUGACAUUAAGGGCCCCUUGCACUGAGUUGUUCAUCAUUUGUUUCAGCUGAAAAAUGCGAGGGGCGUUACUUUGUUGGAACUGGUCAUAGAGGUCGACCCACACUGCCCGCGCGCUAUCAAGAUAGAGGAGAAACUGUUUGCUAUAUCUUUUGUCACGGUGUUAAGAAGCCAGUAGAGAACCAUGUUGUUGUAGC